CCCUUAGAUGUCCGGGGCCGCACGCGCGCUACACUGAAGGAAUCAGCGUGGCUUUCUCCCUGACCCGAAAGGGUUGGGAAACCCGUUGAAUCUCCUUCGUGAUAGGGAUUGGGGUUUGAAAUUGUUCCCCAUGAACGAGGAAUUCCCAGUAAGCGCGAGUCAUAAGCUCGCGUUGAUUACGUCCCUGCCCUUUGUACACACCGCCCGUCGCUACUACCGAUUGAACGGUUUAGUGAGGGCCUCGGAUUGGUCUCGGCCCGCUCUUUACCGGGCGGCGCCGUUGGUCGAGAAGACGCUCGAACUUGAUCGUUUAGAGGAAGUAAAAGUCGUAACA
rnacentral:rRNA from 1 species